rnacentral:SRP_RNA from 1 species
GGGGGGUUGGCGAGGGACGUUUCACUCGCCAACCGGGUCAGGUCCGGAAGGAAGCAGCCCUAACGAGACCGAGCGGGUCU